rnacentral:rRNA from 1 species
AUACGGAGGGUGCAAGCGUUACUCGGAAUCACUGGGCGUAAAGCGCGCGCAGGCGGCUAUUUAAGUUGGAUGUGAAAGCCUACGGCUCAACCGUAGAACUGCAUCCAAAACUAUUUAGCUAGAGUGUGGGAGAGGAAGAUGGAAUUAGUUGUGUAGGGGUAAAAUCCGUAGAGAUAACUAGGGAUACCAAAAGCGAAGGCAAUCUUCUGGAACACUUCUGACGCUGAGGCGCGAAAGCGUGGGGAGCAAACAGGAUUAGAUACCCUAGUAGUCC